GGAUCGCUAAUGAAGGACGAGGUACCUGGAGGGGAAAGGGGACCUCGAGGAGGGGACUUCGGAUGGUGUAAUUCCCUCCCGAAAUACCCGCUCCGGGAACAAGGUUUUUCUUCCGUCCCGGAUGAACGAAACCUUCCAUCCCGCACUUCUCAUAGAGACAUGCUGUCAGGUUGUGCAGUGGAUCGGUGUGUGUCCCUUGUAACAGGACGUGCCUUCCCCUCUGAAGAUCACACUCUGCCAACAGGAAAGGGUGAUGCUGGUCUCCUGUUUAAAAACCGAAUUCCCUACAGAGUCAGCCAUGAAAUCUCCAGCAGUCUGAAGGAUGCCUCAGGAGCUCAGCUCAUUUGUAAAGCCAAAAUCCAUGAAAUACUGAGAGGUCCAGAAAUGCUAACCAAACCUUUUCAAGUCCAGAUUAUCAACUGAUACUUCCUCAGGAGCCAGGUUCUCCAAUUCUUCUUCAAUUCACUGGUGAGCCAUGAACUAUGAACAGCCAGCAAUGAAUGCAGCAAGGAGAGCCCUAGACCCGCUGUUGGAGGCAGGCCUGGAAACCAAAAGCUCUGGUCUGCAGUGCCUGGGCUGUGUGGCAGGCUGGGAUUCUGUUUCCUGCAGAGAUGAGUACCCACACCUCCACUCAGGGCAGUGAAUGAGAAAGCUCUAGAUUUGGCAUCAGACCAGAGUAUCGGAAGACCUGCUCCAACUCAACAUACCAGUUAAUUAUUUGGGGAUAAUUAUUUGAUGGUGUUCUGUAGCCUCAAUUAAUUCCUAUAUCUGUUUUGUCUUUUUGUAUUUUUUUUCAAAUUAACUAGAAAACAAGAAGAAUAAUUAUAUUUUAUAUAUAUAUCUUUCCACUCACCACCACCCCCAUUCCAAUCACCAAACCAUCUACUUUAUAGUCCUGAAGACUGGAUUAAAAGACUACUGGAAUUUAUGUCUUUGCGUUUUACCUUAAAUAAUACUGGCCAAGGCGGGGAGGGGAGAUUAUUGAAAUCCUAAGCAUCUAUAUCCAACACUAGAUGUCACUACCCUGAUAUUUUGAAUUGGGUAUUCAACUACUAUUUUUUCCAAUCUGUUUUAUGUUCUUCCUCAAAAUAAUAGUAAUAAAUGCCAGA
rnacentral:lncRNA from 1 species